UACGGAGGAUGCGAACGUUAUCCGGAUUUAUUGGGUUUAAAGGGUGCGUAGGCGGACUGUCAAGUCAGCGGUAAAAUUGAGAGGCUCAACCUCUUCCCGCCGUUGAAACUGGUGGUCUUGAGUGGAUGAGAAGUACGCGGAAUGCGUGGUGUAGCGGUGAAAUGCAUAGAUAUCACGCAGAACUCCGAUUGCGAAGGCAGCGUACCGGCAUCCAACUGACGCUGAGGCACGAAAGCGUGGGGAUCAAACAGG
rnacentral:rRNA from 1 species